UGUGAGUUGAGUCCUAUUUAUACUCC
rnacentral:piRNA from 1 species